ACGAAACACAGAUAGAAAACAGUAGAGGAUCAGAGGAGACAACAUGACGGAGGAAGACGACAAGAGUUACCGCCAAAUCAGAGGCAAGCACGCGCGACGGACGCCUGCAAAGAUUAGAGAAGCAAAUGGACACUGCCUUAUUGGAUAUUAGUUGUGAUUUUGGGGAUUCAGAUGAAGAUGAUUAGCAGCCAGUUUUUGAUUUGGAGGUUUAUGUUACCCUUACUUGAUGUUGCUACUGUCAAUUUGUAAUCUCCACAUGCCUCGGUUGAUCGAUAUAUUACUGAUAUGAUUCUAUUUUCUUGAACUUCUACAACAUGGAAGGAGGAUAGUGGUGAUGAUAAUGAGGAUGAAGACAGUGAUGAAGAUGCUCAGUGCUACUGGCUUUGCAGAAGUAAGUUAGAGAGAUUCUGAAAAAAAAAAAAGAACACAUUGGUCUUCAUUAAAUAUGUUCUGGAAAAUUAUGAUUUUCCUUAUUUUAUCUACAUAUACCGUUUUGAUAUAUGUAAUUUUGGUGUUAAAUCUAGUAGAUUAUUUCCCACUAUCAAGAUUUUCAUUGAAGCUCUUCUUUUUCGAGUGAGGAAGUUUUUUGCGAUGUGAAUUUAGCUUCUUGGAGUGAACUGGCUCAUUGGAUUUGGAGGAUGCAAGAAUCUUUUCAUUGCAACAUGACUGCAGGAGAGGGAACUUAACAACUAGACAUUGCUAGUGAUCUUUUUGCAUUGUCGAUGGUGCUGACGCUUGACUAUUACAAUGCUGAAGAGGAGGCAAAGGUUAAAAUUGCAGAGCAAAGUGGAAGAAUUUUGAGCAUGGUGGAUGGAGGCCUUGAAGGUGAGAUCCAAGAUGAGAGUGACAGAGACAUAGAGGAAAUUCCGUAAAAGGAAAAGGAAUAACAAAAUCUGUGGUGAGUCAUGAAGCAAACAGCAACAUCGGUACAACUUUAGAAAGGUCAAGAAAGAUUUGAGUUCUUUGUUAAGGGAGGAGGAGGGGCAAGUAGAUGUUGUAUACAGGUAGAAUUUUGCUUUUGAUGUUGGUUUUCGCUGCUUGCUUGCAUGUUCACAUAGUUGUAUUUGAGUUAAAUUUCAAAAUAUCAAGUUCAAAUUAUUGGUGGCGA